AGGGCACCACCAGGAGUGGAGCCUGCGGCUUAAUUUGACUCAACACGGGAAAUCUCACCAGGCCCGGACACCGGAAGGAUUGACAGAUUGAGAGCUCUUUCUUGAUUCGGUGGGUGGUGGUGCAUGGCCGUUCUUAGUUGGUGGAGCGAUUUGUCUGGUUAAUUCCGAUAACGAACGAGACUCUGGCCUACUAAAUAGACGUUAGAUCCCUUUGUGGGUCUAUCGCAGCUUCUUAGAGGGACGGGCGGCGUUCAGCCGCACGAGAUUGAGCAAUAACAGGUCUGUGAUGCCCUUAGAUGUUCUGGGCUGCACGCGCGCUACACUGAAGGAAUCAGCGUGUGUUCCCUGCCCGAAAGGACUGGGAAACCCGUUGAACCUCCUUCGUGAUGGGGAUUGGGGAUUGCAAUUAUUCCCCAUGAACGAGGAAUUCCCAGUAGGCGCGAGUCAUAAGCUUGCGUCGAUUACGUCCCUGCCCUUUGUACACACCGCCCGUCGCUACUACCGAUUGAAUGAUUUAGU
rnacentral:rRNA from 1 species